AUUGAACGCUAGCGGGAUGCUUUACUCAUGCAAGUAGAACGCAGUGGCGGACGGGUGAGUAAUAUAUCGGAACGUGCCUAAUACCGGGGGCUAAUUACCCUCUACAGUGGCUCAUACCGCAUACUAUUGGAGCGGCCGAUAUCGGAUUAGCUAGUUGGUGGGGUAAAGGCUCACCAGGGCAACGAUCCGUCGCUGGGUUGAGAGGACGAACAGCCACACUGGGAUUGAUACACGGCCCAGACUCCUACGGGAGGGAGCAGUAGAGAAUGUUGGGCAAGGGGGGAAACCCUUAUACAGCCAUCCCGCGGGUAUGAUGAGGGCCUGCGGGUGGUAAAGUACUUUUGGCAGAGGAGCGGUAACUGAAGAAUAAGCACCGACUAACUACAAGACAGCAGCCGCGGUAAUUC
rnacentral:rRNA from 1 species